GAUGAACGCUAGCGGCAGGCUUAAUACAUGCAAGUCGUGGGGCAGCGCAGGUAGCAAUACUGGGCGGCGACCGGCAAACGGGUGCGGAACACGUACACAACCUUCCGAGAAGUGGGGAAUAGCCCAGAGAAAUUUGGAUUAAUACCCCCGUAACAUAACGAUGUGGCAUCACAUUGUUAUUAUAGCGUCGGCGCUUCUCGAUGGGUGUGCGGCUGAUUAGAUAGUUGGCGGGGUAACGGCCCACCAAGUCUACGAUCAGUAGCUGAUGUGAGAGCAUGAUCAGCCACACGGGCACUGAGACACGGGCCCGACUCCUACGGGGAGGCAGCAGUAAGGAAUAUUGGGUCAAUGGACGCAAGUCUGAACCAGCCAUGCCGCGUGAAGGAUGAAGGUCCUCUGGAUUGUAAACUUCUUUUAUCUGGGACGAAAAAAAGGGAAUUCUUUCUCACUUGACGGUACCAGAGGAAUAAAGCACCGGCUAACUCCGUGCCAGCAGCCGACGG
rnacentral:rRNA from 1 species